UAGAUAGGUGUGCCAAAUAUGG
rnacentral:siRNA from 1 species